UGUUGCGCAUUCACUUGCCUCCAUGGCUAAGUGGCUUAACCCCAACGAUGCUGUGAACACUCCAAUGGAAUGACGUUUGACAUAAUCAAAGAUCAAGGACUUAACCACAAGACAACAACGAUGUCUCAGGUCAAAUGACUACUUUGCAUUAUCCCAACCAUGAGUUCUCAUGUGACAUGACUAUGAGAACUCUUCGUUGAUCGUGUUCAGUGAACUCAUUCUCUAUUGAGCACCUACGUACUUGUCUUGAUGUCACACACACCAAUGACUCGAGACUAGUCACUCUCCCUGAGAGAAGAUACAACACGUACUGAUCUUAACGGACUGUCAAUGCCCAAUUGGCAAUCCUAUGAUCAGGAACGUUUAGG
rnacentral:lncRNA from 1 species